AUGACGGAUGGCCAUAUGAAUUUUUCUAUGACAAGAUAAAUCUCUGUGAAAUGAUUAUGUUGUGGUGAUAAUGACGUGAUAAUUCUUAUGCCCAUUAAGACAGUGAGACGAGUCAUGUUUCCUUAACAGAGGUAAGCAAGUAAACUAUCAUUUUUCUUCUGAGAUUCAUAUCCAACUUUUCAUCACUUUCUUAUUUUGACAAGAAGGAUUUCCCUGAUAGGGUUCUGUACUUCCCUAACUUCCUAGUCUUACAUAAUUGAAGGAGUGGGGGAGUUGGUCAUAGAAGCUGACAUGAUGCUUCAGCCAAGAUCAAAACGUAGAUCCAAAUGUCAGUCUACGUACAUUAGAAGGCAUUGGUCAACCGAGGAACUUCAAAUUCCAUACCAGAGACCGAUCAAAAUGAAGAAAAGCGAUUUUGUAGGGGAAGCAACAGCCACAGCUAAGGCCCAGCUUGCAUGCCAACCCUAAAGAGGCUCCUGGGCCAAGUGGAGUGUCCUGAGGAAGUUUUGAUGUUUGUGAAGAUCCAAACACUUGAUCUGCCAGCUAAUGAAGGCUCUGUUGGCUGCGGUCCAACUGCAAACUAAUAAGAGACACUUGGAAUGUUUGAUUCAAAGCUGCACUUCAUGAAAUUCGGAGAAAGUCCCUAAACACCACAGGAUGGAGAUGCAGGCAGGAUUGAGCUAUGUCAUGAGACAUUAUGCAAAGGCAUUCCAAAGUUCCUUGCUAUUGCCAUUUAUUAUGUGUUAUGUGUUGUUAACACUCUUCAUAGGAUUCUUGAGAUAAAGCGACCUCUUCUCAUGUGGUGUAGUAGUCCUUUGCAAGCUUCGACAUCGUGCUAUCCUUUAGCAAAGGCCGAAUCUCAAAAUGCUUGCAGGACCAGUA